UACGGGGGGGGCAAGCGUUGUUCGGAAUUACUGGGCGUAAAGGGCGCGUAGGCGGCUUAGUAAGUCAGGUGUGAAAGCCCGGAGCUCAACUCCGGAACGUCACUUGAUACUAUUAAGCUAGAGUGCAGAAAAGGUAGUCGGAAUUCCUGGUGUAGCGGUGAAAUGCGUAGAUAUCAGGAAGAACAUCGGUGGCGAAGGCGGACUACUAGGCUGACACUGACGCUGAGGCGCGAAAGCUAGGGGAG
rnacentral:rRNA from 1 species